rnacentral:lncRNA from 1 species
AAUAAUUCUAGGCUGGAAGGUCACUUGUUAUUCUACCCACUGAACACGAUUUUGUAGAUCAGCAAUUACUUCUUCAAGAUCAUAUGGCAGAGGCAUAUUACACUCAUCAUCUGUCCAGAAGGGAUGGCUUUCUGGUUUCUGGUCUUCUGGCAAGCUCUCGGCUGCUUCUGACUGGCAUCUUGCUGUCCAUUCCUUACGCAGCCUUUCUCGCUCUGUAAGAACUAGCAAGAAGCACCUGAUUGUUUUAUUCCUUUGUUCCUCAAUUUGUUCCUCUUUUCGAACUUCAGAGAGGACCAGGCUUUGAUGGGUUUUGUCCAUCCUUCUCAAUUGCAGGAUGCCAUCAGGGAGAUGGAGCACAAAUUCAUGGUACCUGCAGGCUGACCUCCACCUCUUCUGAGGGCAGGACACUUUCCACAGAGGUUCUCAUUCUCUCGAGACGCUUCGUUGCCUACCUCCAUCAUGCCAGGAAUUCAGUAACAUUUCUUCCUAUUUACUGUUCUUCUGAAUGCUAUAUCUGUAAAACCUACACUUUAUAAACCUAGGCUUUAAAUAUAAAACUAGUACUUACCAUAAUCUCCAUUUUUCUCCAAAAUUCUUCUAACUUAGCAAUAGGCUUGAGCCACCAAUCAGUGCACUUCAAAUACCGCUUGCCUUGAAACCAAAACUGCCUAAGCCACUCAAAUUCAACCUCAUUAUGUAUUUCUUCUACUUGCUUUAUAACGGCAGUAUCCAGUGAUUUCAAAGAUAAAGCCACUGAAUCUGGGUCUGUCUGCAAAUUCUGGAGCGCCAGUUCACAUUGUCCAAAUAUGUAUUCCAAUGUUCCUCUUGAACACUAUAAAGAUUUAAAUUUCCAGGAAUAAUCUUGAAUAAGGACCCC